GUGAAGUACGCAUGCGCAACCUCCUUUUCUCCGCAGGCGAGGAAGAAGUGUAUGCUCGUGCUGCACAUUGCACUAGUGAACCGAGAGAAACCAAAUGAAGAUGUUUGUUGCAGGCGGUCAAGAGGACCAUUGUAAAGACCUGAUUGGAUUGUUGGAAAAAGGUGCAAAUGUAUUUAUCCUAUCCUUCCCUCAUCCGAUUACUUGAUUGACACCGGAAAAGGAUGACGUGAGAACCAUAUCUUAAGCAAUAAGAUUACUCUAUUGGCAAUGGAAAAAGGAUGAUGUGAGAGUCGCAUCUUAAGGAAUAAGGUUACUGUAUUGCCACUGGCAAAGGAUGACAUGAAUCGCAUCUUAAGCAAUAAGAGUAAAGAAUUGCUAGUGAAGAAGGCUAAUGAGGAUGACUGGCUCCUGAAGAAGGGUAACGUCUCUGUAGUGCAGGGAGUCCAGGUCAUGUAGAGCACAGGGAAACACUGCAUCGGGUGGAAAUACAAGCGUAGAGGCCCCUGUGUUGCCAAGACAAGUCCCAAACUUGAAAUAACCUAUGGUAAGGUGAUAUUGACUCCAAACUUGUAAUGAUAUGAUUAAGUUGUGGUCCAAUAAAUAAAAAAAU